CCUACGGGGGGCAGCAGUGGGGAAUAUUGCGCAAUGGGCGAAAGCCUGACGCAGCGACGCCGCGUGAGGGAUGAAGGUCUUCGGAUCGUAAACCUCUGUCAGCAGGGAAGAACGGUCACUGUGCUAAUCAGCAGUGAAUUGACGGUACCUGCAAAGGAAGCACCGGCUAACUCCGUGCCAGCAGCCGCGGUAAUACGGAGGGUGCGAGCGUUAAUCGGAAUUACUGGGCGUAAAGCGCUCGUAGGCGGUAUGUCAAGUCAAGGGUGAAAUCCCCGCGCUCAACGUGGGAACUGCCUUUGAAACUGGCAAACUGGAGUGUGUGAGAGGAGAGUGGAAUUCCAGGUGUAGGAGUGAAAUGCGUAGAUAUCUGGAGGAACAUCAGUGGCGAAGGCGACUAUCUGGCACAUAACUGACGCUGAGGAGCGAAAGCGUGGGUAGCAAACAGGAUUAGAUACCCGGGUAGUC
rnacentral:rRNA from 1 species